UGUUCAUGUAUAUUGCUAUUGACCUAUUUACACGCUCAUGAUUGUAGUACACCGCCUAAGUAACUAUUUUUACGCGCAUAGCUGUGUUGUUGUUUUGCUCGUGUCCAGAACAUAACUGUAAUGUUCUCACACUCAUGGCCAGACCCGCAGCUGCACACGCACACAGCGAUGCGUUCCGUUGUUUGCAUUGAGACCGUCGCGUCGAGUCGUAUCGCGUGAUCUUCCAAUUCCCUUUUGCUCGACUUCUUUUCGCGGAGUUGAGUUAGUAGAAACUUCUAGACGAAACCGCCCGCACGCAUAUUUUCUACCGCCGCAGAAACGACCCCCCCGCUGUUCUUGUAAUAUAAUUGUACUAUAACCACCAAUAUUAACUAAUCAAAAAAAAUAAAUAAGCUCAAGAUAUAAAGGAUUAUACAGUCCACUAAUUCAAAAACAGGCAUAGAUACCCUACAUAUAGAAAAAACAGAGAAGAAAAAUGGUCACACUAUGAAAAGACAAGAAGGUCACAUUAGUUUGAGCAGUCGAUAAAAGAGCGGGGAGAAAAGACGAAGCGAAAUAAAACGCAACCAACGCCUAAGUACCGAUUAAGAUAAGCGAUUGUGUUUUAUCCGCAAUUCUCACGUUUCUGGACACAAUAUCUUUUAUUUCGCUCCUUGGAAGCCAAUGACCCUAGAGUUCUUAGAGUUUGUGUGAAGACGGGUGGAGACUCGUGGUGCAAGCACUGAAGUAUACUGGACAUUGGAGAAGCGACCGAACCCACAAGGAGACGGUCAUCUCGCUCGUGGGUGGACAAUAAACAUUGAAGAACACGAAGGCCAACGUGGGUGCGCACGUCAGGCAGCUGAAAAAGCGCACAUUUAUAUGUAUGUACAUAUGCGAGAUAUUGCAAAUACUGCCAUCUCGCUCUAUCCAACGAAGUUCUUACGGGCCAGCAACUAGAGGCUUGGGUGCGCAGUUGGCUGAUGAAAUCGAGUGAAAAUUUCUGGAUUCUGGUUUAUUUGGUAAGUGCCAAUUUGAUUGUUGAUUUGGGAAAAGGUACAUCUGCGGGUGAUGAUUACCAGAGCAAUGAGCAACGGAUGAAAUGGACGAGGAAACGUUUGAGAUGGGAAAAGUGGAAGGAGAAUCCGCGCAAGGUGAAGUCUCAAAUAUGGAGAGGGCCUGGGCCGGCACAUCAAAAGAAGCCCAAUGUGGCGCCAAAUGCAAGAAGUGGAAGGACAACUGGCGGACCAGGACCACAAUCAACUACGGCUGAGCCCUCAGUGACAUCGGACGCAGUCUCAUCACCAAGGCAACCGGUUCCUUCUUAGGAAACGCAAAGAAAAAUGUACGAUCUACCGGAGUUUAAUGGUGCUACCGAAGAGUGGCCAAUGUUCAACGAAGCUUUCACUAUGACCACUGCAAAGUACGGAUACAGUGACAUGCUAAAUUUUUUACGCCUCCAAAAGGCAAUAAAGGGCAAGGCUAGGGAAACCGUUGAAUGUUUGCUUAUUCACAGUUCUAACGAUUCAAAUAUUUUAGAUACCCUUAAACAAAAUUUUGGUAGACCGGAGAAACUCGUAAAAAGCCAGAUUAGUCGCGUUAGAGAAUUUCCGAGCAUUCGCGAAGGGAGAUUGGAACAAUUAGUAGAGUUCGAAAUGAAGGUACAAAACUUGGCUUCAUUCUUAGAAACAAAUCACAUAAAGUAGAUAAGUAAUGACAGUUCGGGUGUAAACAAAGAUAUGUAGCCCAUCAAAAGAUACUAGAACAAAACUCAAGUGGGGAAAACACUUAACCAAUGCAUUCUUAAAAUAACACUACAUUAGUGCAAGCAUUCACUCAAAAAGACACCCGCAGUAAAAUGUAUCCUUUGCGUAGGUCUAACGAUAAUUAUAGAAUACAAAAUUGUACCUCCUACCUCAUUGUCAAAUCACAUAUAAGGC